UGCAAAAAAAGUGAACCAUGUUAACAAUGAUUCCUUCUCCCCAGUGUGUUCUAAAGAUUGUUUCCAUGGCAAUCUACAUUGUUUUGUCUAAAUUAUUCUUUGUGCCACUUUUUUCCCUACAUCUAGAUAUUUGUAAAGCACCUAUCACUUGAGUAUCUCUUCUCUGAUAAAGCACCCAAGAGGGAAAAGAGAAUAUUUCUCGGAAGAAAUGAAAAGCUGACAGUUGUCAAGAAGAGCCCAAUUUGUGAGAUUAUGUAGGGCCUGAGGCUCUCUAUAGAGCACUCCACACUCUCCCUUCCCCUGAAAUGGGAUCCACCUUCUGCUCAGGUGAUGGGAAAGCAAAAGCCCCAGUUCACAUCUCUGUAACUUCUGAGAUGUCUUCUCAGGAGUCCAGUCCUUUCCAGGCUUUGGGCAGAAUGAUAAACUGAGGGUAGGGGAAGGAGGAGGUGGCUGGGCUGAGAGGAGAUCACCCUUAGAAAACAGAUGCCUCUACUGUGUAGCAGAGACAGUGAUACUUGUACAUCAAAUAAUUCCAUUUCUCCCAGCACAGAGGAAGAUUUCAUUUUCUAGGUAUGGCCAGAUACUAGUUCUAGCAGAGGCAAUGAACUCCUCAUCGCUGACUUAUCAGGGCAGAAGCAAUGAACACUACUUCUGAGCCAGGCUCUAAAAUCUCCUGAGAUAUAUUUUGCUGUCUCUCCUUUCUCAUCAACUGGUUGGCUGGAUAUGGAGGAACCAGUGAAGGAUUCCAAGGUCCUAAAAGACGGAAGGACCACUGGAUGGAAGGAGUGGGUCCUAAAUCGCUAUGUGGUAGACUGUCAUACACCUGAACUGAUGUGAAUGAGGAAUGAUGUGUUAAGCUACUAACAUUUGGAUUGAAGCCCCAGUAUUUUGGCCACCUGAUGCAAAGAGCCAACUCAUUGGAAAAGGCGUUAAUGCUGGGAAAGAUUAAGGGCAGGAGGAGAAGAGGGUGACAGAGGAUGAGUUGGUUCAGGACCAACUCGAUGGACAUGAAUUUGAGCAAACUCCAGCAGAGAGUAGAGGACAGAGGAGACUGUCAUGCUGCAGUCCAUGAGGUCACAAAGAGUCAGACACAACUUAGCAACGGAACGACAACAACUGACAUUUGGGGUUGUCAAAGCAGUUUUGUCCUAAUAGAUGAGAUAUGGCAGGUUUCUGGGCAGGAUCAGCAACAGAUGGCAGCAGGAUCUCCACGGAAGGAAACAAAGUACAGUGACCAGAGGGAAAUGGACAGAGUCCAGAUCAGGGUCUCCCAGGUGGCACUAGAAGCCGCAGCCUGACAUUAACUGAGCAUGACAAGAGGGAGAUCAAAGGACUGGGGUUCCCACUGUACUGUAGCCCUUGAAGGCACAGUUUGCAUAAUAAAGAAUGAGCACCAUAAUAACAAUUCAAUUUUCUGAGAACUGACAAGACCAAAAUGUUCCAUCCACCAGAAGAUACUUUUCUUGGCUGGUCAUGCCCCAUCAUGAUCUCCAUCUCCGCUCAGGUACCCUGUGGAGCACAAGCAGGAUGACCAGCCUUUGGUGUGCAGGGACUUUAAACAGGACAUCUUCUAGUUGAUAUUAGGAAUGUUUGGUGGAUUUCCAGACUUUUAUUUUUUAAACACAUCAUGAGCUCCAAUCUGGUCAGCCAUCAACUAAGGCUGAGGCAUCUCUGAAUGAGGCGUUUUGUUUAAUUUUGUUUUUUAAAAUCAUGUAUUUGCUACAAAGUAUUGGACUUGUCUCAAUGGGAAUGGUGUACAAAAAUGAUAUAUGAUAUGUAUCAUACUUAAU
ensembl:lncRNA